UACGGAGGGUGCGAGCGUUGUCCGGAAUCAUUGGGCGUAAAGGGUGCGUAGGCGGAAUGAUAAGUCAGUGGUGAAAUCCUUCAGCUUAACUGGAGAACUGCCAUUGAUACUGUCAAUCUUGAGUACAUUUGAUGUGGGCGGAAUGUGUCAUGUAGCGGUGAAAUGCUUAGAUAUGACACAGAACACCGAUUGCGAAGGCAGCUCACAAAACUGUAACUGACGCUGAGGCACGAAAGCGUGGGUAUCAAACAGG
rnacentral:rRNA from 1 species